rnacentral:rRNA from 1 species
UAAUACGGAGGUGGCGAGCGUUGUCCGAAGUUACUGGGCGUAAAGCGCGCGUAGGCGGGUAGGUAAGUGAGGGGUGAAAGGCUGAGGCUCAACCUCAUGUUUGUCCUCUCAUACUGUCUAUCUUGAGUGAGGUAGGGAGAAGUGGAAUGGCUGGUGUAGCGGUGAAAUGCGUAGAUAUCAGUCGGAACACCGGUGGCGAAGGCGGCUUCUUGGACCUUAACUGACGCUGAGGCGCGAAAGCUGGGGGAGCGAACGGGAUUAGAUACCCCGGUAGUCCCAGCCGUAAACGAUGGAUACUAGGUGUCGGGGGUAUCGACCCCUCCGGUGCCGCAGCUAACGCAUUAAGUAUCCCGCCUGGGGAGUACGGCCGCAAGGUUG